GAGGAAUAAGCAUCGGCUAACUCCGUGCCAGCAGCCGCGGUAAUACGGGGGAUGCAAGCGUUAUCCGGAAUCAUUGGGCGUAAAGCGCCUGUAGGUUGUUUAAUAAGUCUGUUGUUAAAGACUAGGGCUUAACCCUAGAAAAGCAAUGGAAACUACUAGACUAGAGUAUGGCAGGGGUAGAGGGAAUUUCUAGUGUAGCGGUGAAAUGCGUAGAUAUUAGAAAGAACACCGGUGGCGAAAGCGCUCUACUGGACCAUUACUGACACUCAGAGGCGAAAGCUAGGGUAGCAAAAGGGAUUAGAUACCCCUGUAGUCCUAGCCGUAAACGAUGGAUACUACAUGUUGUGUUUAUUUCACAGUAUGGUAGCUAACGCGUUAAGUAUCCCGCCUGGGGAGUACGCUCGCAAGGGUGAAACUCAAAGGAAUUGACGGGGGCCCGCACAAGCGGUGGAGCAUGUGGUUUAAUUCGAUGCAACGCGAAGAACCUUACCAGGGCUUGACAUACUGCGAAUCUUUCCGAAAGGAAAGAGUGCCUUCGGGAAUGCAGAUACAGGUGGUGCAUGGCUGUCGUCAGCUCGUGUCGUGAGAUGUUGGGUUAAGUCCCGCAACGAGCGCAACCCUUGUUUUUAGUUACCAAUUCGUUGGGUUUUCUAGAAAGACUGCCGGUGACAAACCGGAGGAAGGUGAGGAUGACGUCAAGUCAGCAUGCCCCUUAUGUCCUGGGCUACACACGUGCUACAAUGGUUAGGACAAAGAGUUGCGAGCUUGUGAAAGUCAGCUAAUCUCAUAAACCUAGCCCAAGUUCAGAUUGUAGGCUGCAACUCGCCUGCAUGAAG
rnacentral:rRNA from 1 species